UUAUAGUCCACCAUUUUCUCAACUAGUUCCAUUAAAAUGUUUUCGACAAUUGCUGUGCCUUCUAACCAAACAAAGCCUCAUCGUCGGGAAAUCUCCGGCGUGCCGGAGAGUGAGGUCCUCAGGAGAAGAAAUGAAGAGUUGGAGAAAGAAUUAAAUAAGAGCAUUGAGAGAGAAGAGAAAAUGAAGCAGGAAUUGCACAAAACAUGGGAAAGGCUGAGGGUGGCGGAGGAGGCUGAGGAGCGACUUUGCUCCCAGCUCGGUGAACUUGAGGCCGAGGCUGUAGAUCAGGCUCGGACUUACAGGACACAUGUCGUCCAGUUGAUGGAUCAACUCUCUCUGGCACAAAAACUUCUCGAAUCAGCUUCCGUUACCGCUCCCGUCCCAAUGAUUGUAGGAGAAAUUGGCAGCGCAUGCCUGUAACGUUAUGCACCUAAGCCUUGGCUAUUCCUUUUCAGUUUUCUGGUGUGUGGGUGUUUAAUUUCUUCAUCACUGAUUUUUUUUUAUUUUCCGAUUGAUAUAGAUGGCCCUUUGUUUUAUUCAUUUGAUGUUUGAGGAGUAUAUGGCUGUUGUGUAUUGGUGGCUCCAUGUAAAUGACGAGAUGUAAGAUUAGGAACUCAGAAUCGUGGUGUAUAGUAUGUUGACUUUUGUUUCUACUUUUCUUCGAGGUGUAAUGCUGAUUUUUUGUGUUCAUUUAGA
rnacentral:lncRNA from 1 species